rnacentral:rRNA from 1 species
GACGAACGCUGGCGGCGUGCCUAAUACAUGCAAGUAGAACGCUGAAGAGAGGAGCUUGCUCUUCUUGGAUGAGUUGCGAACGGGUGAGUAACGCGUAGGUAACCUGCCUUGUAGCGGGGGAUAACUAUUGGAAACGAUAGCUAAUACCGCAUAACAAUGGAUGACACAUGUCAUUUAUUUGAAAGGGGCAAUUGCUCCACUACAAGAUGGACCUGCGUUGUAUUAGCUAGUAGGUGAGGUAAUGGCUCACCUAGGCGACGAUACAUAGCCGACCUGAGAGGGUGGUCGGCCACCCUGGGACUUAGACGCGGCCCAGACUCCUACGGGAGGCAGCAGUAGGGAAUCUUCGGCAAUGGGGGCAACCCUGACCGAGCAACGCCGCGUCAGUGACGAAGGUUCUCGGAUCGUAAAGCUCUGUUGUAAGUCAAGAACGGGUGUGAGAGUGGAAAGUUCACACUGUGACGGUAGCUUACCAGAAAGGGACGGCUAACUACGUG